rnacentral:lncRNA from 1 species
CAGAGCCCAAAUCGUCUUCCUCGAUUUUACUGAAUGACGUACAACUACGACGAUCGAUCGUUAAAUAUUUCCCGUGGAUUUCUGAUUAUAGAUCUAAUCUGAUUACAACUAAUCACAACAGAUGACUACUUAUUUGAAAGACAUACAGCUAUUUCAAUUAAGGUUGUCCCCCGAGCAAAGCGGAAAAGUCGAAGACGAGCGCGAAAGGCUGCUAGGAAUCGCUAAGAAAUUAAUGAG